rnacentral:lncRNA from 1 species
ACAAGAAAAGUAAAAGGAAAGAAAAUCAAACAACCAAAAAAGGAAACAAAUUAGGGCAAAAUAAAUAUAGAAGCUACAAACGCGUUCUUCCCCUUUUCAUCUGGGAAACUGAACGCCUCCUUUGACGAAUUCCAGCUACUGAUCUUCAUUCUCCACACCGACGAAGCAUAGAAAACAUCAGUUACGUAGCUCAACUAUCGGUAUCAGAAAAGACGCUGGGCUAAUUUCAUCAUAGGCGACCUCAAAUCUCUUACACAUGUGUUGUGACAUAUGACCCAACGGGAACAUUCCUUGUCAAUCUCAUUGCCAACCGAAUACUAUGUAGGAGGUAACUUCCAUCCUUUUUGUGUAGAUAAUCAAAUCGGAAAUUCUUAGAACAUUGACGCAAAACUUUUUUAACCAAGCUAUUUACUAUAUCACUUUUGAUAGAAUGAGAUUCUGAAGAUGCUGAUACCACACAUCAAAAGUUGCACAGUGAACAACCAGAUCUAAAAGUUCUGCAAUUUUUCAGGUAAACAUACUAUAUACCUUCUCAAGACCAUUGAAUUAGUCCGGUUCUCAAGCCUUCAAGUAGUUGUAUCUAAAACUAGGGGUUUGUUGUUUAUAUAAGAGAAUCAAUUUUGAACUUCUUGUGGUAGUUGUUGCAAUGAAUUAUAGCUUAUAGCACCCACACAACAAGUAAUAAAAUCGGCAAUUUUAUUGCCUUCUCGUAGUACAUGAUGCACUGUACUAACGCCUUUUGCCCUCCAAAACCUUAUCCUGUCAAUCUUCAUCCUUAACUUCGAAGGAGUAUUCCAUGUACCCUCCACCAUAUUCAACAAAACUAAUGAAUCUGUCUCCAAUCGUACAGGAACAAAAUUGUUCCUCGUGCAAUAGUCAAUCACAUUCCCCAAAUCCACUCUUCUACGUAUAAAUUAGUGUUAACUUCAAUUCUUAUAACAUAGCAUAAAUAAACUCCCCUUCAUCACUUCUCAUGCAAAAACCUAAUGAACUUGGGUCUGGGUUACCUUUAGAGGCCCCAUCCGAAUUGCAUUUAAACCAUCCCUGUAGAGGAAACUCCUACUUAACCAAUCUAAAAUGAAGAACUCGCAUAUAUUCUUCGAAGUACUGCACCAUUUGUGGCCAGUUAAUUGGUAUAUCCUUCAGCCGAGGAUAUGUCACAUUUGCAAGCAUAUGAAGAAUGUGGCUAAUAUCACUUACAACUCAAUUAUUUGUCAUAAAUCCUCCAUUAGUAACCACAUUUCUUCUUCUCAUUAAAUGCCACAAAAUGAUUUAAGGAGCAGAUUGAUACAAUGACAUAAGUUUUUCCCCACAUUCAGCCUUCCACCAUUCUGUAAUAGCCUGAUUGACCUGUAUAAAAGGGCCUAACAACCCUACAGCCAUAGUAAAGUUUCUCCAAAUACUUUGUGCAACUUCACCAGUUAAAAAAAUGUGUGACAGUCUCUUCUUGAAAUUGUCGACAACAUCUACACCUAGACUCCCCAUGAUGCCACAAUGUCAUCUAUUGGUAGCUUUAGAUUCCACAACCUCCAAAUAAAAAAGAAAAUUUUCAUAGGAAGACCUUUUACCCAAAAUUUCUUCCAAAACCAUCUUUUCUGCUUUUUUGGUCUCUGAAUUUCCCUAAAAUUUCCUUUAGUAGAUGGCAUCCACCAUGCUCUAUCUUUGUCUUCCAAGCUCUCUCAUAUCAUGAGAUUCUUUGUCACAUGUUCAGCAAUUUGAUUAGGCAAAUGUUGAUGUAGACUUUCCUAAUUUUAUUUUUCAUUAUCCAUAAAAAAAUUUACCUCCUUGUUUAGAAAAACAUAAUUUCAACCAAGAAGCCCAGAUUAGAUCUGCCCUCUUCCAAGUUGCUUCAAAAGAAUUUUGAAAAAUCUUGUGCAACUCAUUCAAAGCGCAUUUAGUAAGAGCUAAAGUUGAUAAAAGAUAUAUAGGCAUGUUUUGCAACACAUUUCUAAUCAAAACAACUUUGCCACCAAAGGAUAAUAACUUACUCUUUCAGUUCUGCAACUUUCCUUUUACCUUUUUGAUGAUUUCAUUAUAGAAUAUCUUCUCUUUCUUCAAUAAAAUAUUGGGCAGCCUAAAUAUAUGAAUGGGAACACACCUUUUUCCAUUCCUAUGACUAAUCCCACCUGCUGCACCUUUUUCGGGGUGGCCCAGUGGUUUGGGCUUGGGACUUCCAUGUUGGAGGUCUCAAGUUCGAAACCCCUUGCCAGCGAAAGCAAGGGGUUUGCCUUCUGGGUCGAGCUCGUCGCACUGGGCUUGCCUAGUGCGGGUUACCUCUCCUAUGUGGUUUGCGAGCUAUUGCAUAGGAGCGGGGGUUUUAUCAUGUGCGCACCCAAAGGGUAGCGGCUGUGGGUUUUCCUUGUCAUAAAAAAAAUAUCAUGUUAAUUUAGCAUUUAAUUCUAAAUAGAUUUUUUUAAAACAGAGAAAAUACAUUUAUGUUUUGAGAUUGUUUAAAUUUUUUCACUAAACUGAUAAAAAUAACAAAAAUACUUGUUCCUAUAAGUUAUUGUGCAUGAAAAAAGAGAACCAAAAACACAUUUAUAUCAUGCUAAAAAAAUUAUGUUCAUUAAGACAAAUUAUGCAUAUGUAGAACUUCAUGUAAUAGUGAGACAUGCUUCUUAGCUCUAAUUUUUAUGUAUGAGUGAUAAAUAAAAAAUAUUAAUAAAAGAAGUCUUGUGAAAUAAAAAGUAAGCACUUUAAUCUUUGUUGAUCAACUGACCUGAGAUCUCCUCAUAUUUCCUCGGCACUUCCAUAACAAGAUCAAGAGAUACUUUAUCUGUUAAGGUGAAUAUUAUAGUGUCAUCUGCAUAAGUCAAAUGAUUUAGCUUCUCACUCCAUCUUGGUAAGCCAUAUCCCUUAUACAAACUAUUGUCAAACAAGGCAUUCAGUGAUGUGAUCUGGACAACACUUUUGCGGUUAGUAAAGACAGAGUUGGGGAUAAGGGAUCUCCUUGCUUCACUCCCCUAGUAGAGUAAAAAAAAUCCAUGACUUUGCCCAUUAAAAAUAAUAGAGUACCAGGUCUUUGCUAUUAAUCUUCAUACCAUGACAGUAAAAAUCUCACUGAAACCCAUCUUUCUUAGCACAUUAGAUAAAUAUAGUCAGGAUACCCUAUCAUAAAUCAUGGUCAUAUCUAGUUUGAUAACAACAUUAGAAGCUUACCUCUUUUUCUUAUAUCAGUCAAAAUCCCUUGAGUUAGCAACACAUUCUGAAUUAUGCAUCUUCCUUUUUGAAAAUUCAUCUUGAGUAGGAGAUAUGAACUUGGUUAGAAUGUCUUUUAUUCUUCCAUGUACCACUCUAGAGAUGGUCUUAUUAAUCAAAUUUUUUAGGCUUAUAGGCCUUAAUCUGAAAAUGAAUUGACCAACUCCCUUUUACGUAGCAGUACCAGAUUUGUAUGUGUGAUCGACUUGGGCAAGGUAUCACUAUUAAAAAGGCCUUUACUAUCCUAUAAACAUCAUAACCAACAAUGUCCCAACAUGAUUGAAAGAAAUUGACGUUCAAGCCAUCAGGUCCACUUGCACUUGAUCCCUCCAAUUGGAAAAUAGAUUAUUUUUCACCACCUCCAUUAGUGGUAUCAUUAGAAACUUCUCAUUAUCCCCUGAUUUACCAAAUUUGGUAUACAUUCUAAUAAAGAAAAAUCAGAUUCUUCUUCACCUAGUGUAAAUUGAUUUUUAUAACAACUUAUUGCCUCUUCAACCAUUUGAUCCUCUCUUUCAAGCCAUACUCCUUCUGCAUUUUAAAUUCUCUUGAUUUGAAGUCUUUUUCUUCUCCCAUUUACUAGACUAUGAAAAAAUACGCAAAUCAUGUAAUUUCAGCUUUCUGUCUCCAAAACUCCUCUUCAUAGUGAACAUACUUUUUCAUUUCCGCAUGAGCAUGUUGUAGAAUCAUUCUAUUAGCUGUUGUAGGCUCUUCCUCAAAGUUUUGUUCUUUAAUUCUGACUACUUCUUCUCUGAUUAUUAGUUGCUUGAAAAUAUCCCCAAAAGUGUUUCUACUCCACUGAUUCAAUGCAACUUUUAUCUUGUUCACCUUGUGCUUGAAAAUUUAAAAAGGAUGCCCUUCAAAAUCAACGGUCUAAUUGGGCAACUAUAUUUUAAAAUUCAGAAUGUUCUAUCCAAAAAUUUAAAGUUUUUUUAACUGUCUGAUUAUUAUUUGAUUUGUUUGGUCAUCUCUCUUAUUCUCCUUAAGAGAGUGAGCUAUACUCCCUAUGCCACAUCGCUAAAAAUAGUAAAAACUACUUGAAUUUUGUAGUGUUAAGAGUUAAUUACAUCUUAUUUCUAUUCGUUUUCAAAUUAAAAAAAUCCCCAAAAAUAUAAGAAUUUCGAAUAUAUCACUCAACGUCUCGAUACAUCGUGUUCCGGUACAUCGCGUAAAAGUGAUGUAUCCAAGAAUCUAAGAGAGAGUGAGGAAAAUAUGAUUUUUUGUAAUUCUUUCAAAUGGUAGGAAAUUUUAAAGAAUAUGAUAGGAAAUUUAAAAAAAUAUAGUAAAAUAAGAAUUUUGUAAUUGAAAUUAAAUAUUAAAUUCUUGAAAGUUAAAAGAGUAAAGAAAUUGAGACGAAAAAUAUUUAUAGAUUAAUGGGGAGUAAAAAAUACUUAAAAAUUAAAAAUAUGAGAUUAGAUUUUAGAUUAUUAUUUUUUGUUGUUAGUGGGCCCACAACGGUCAAAAAAUUGACAAACAAAUUCUCGAAAAGUUCGUGCCUCCAAUGGAUAUUCCGUUAGUCUUGGACCAGUUCGAUCUGGGCUUCUACUGAUUUGGGCCAAUUUUGGAUCGAUCCGAUCUGAUCCGAUUGACACACUUAGUUUGAAUUAUAUAAAUGACCAUCAAAAGGCAAACUAUUUAACUACAAAACGAAAAAUUAAAAUUACUUAUUUGUGUGAGAGUUCUUGAGUUCUUUCAAGUAUGUUUAAUUUUCAGUUUCUUUAUCUUUUUGGGCCACCAGUUACACUUGUGAAGUAAUCUAUGUGCGACAUGUGAGUUUCUAUGCGCUUUCAUAUGAAAUCAUUUUUUAGUCCUUUACAAAAAAAAAAUUAAUUUUAUGUCCUUUUAUAAAAAUAUCUUCAUUUUUCUAUACAUAAGUGAUCUGAAAAGAAUAUUUUCUUUUAUUCAAAUCCUAAGAAGACAAGAGAUCUCAUUUUGUUGUUUCCUUGUAUGCUUCUACAAACACAUUUUAAGACUUAUAUAUGGGCAGAUUCUAUUUCUUUAAGUCUGUUUUUGUUUGAGCAUUUUAUUUUUUUUAACUAUAUGAAAUUCAUACAGAGAAGUAGUAGAAAUUGCACAGAUUUAAGUUUUAAAAUGUGUUUGUAGAAGCAUACAAGAAAACAACAAAAUGAGACUUCUUGUCUCCUUACGAUUUGAAUAAAAGAAAAUAUUCUUUUUAGAUCACUUAUGUGUAGAAAAAUGAAGAUAUCUUAUAAAAGAACAUAAAACUUAAAAAAAUUGUAAAUGACUAAAAAAUGAUUUCAUAUGAUGAAAGUGCAUAGAAACUCACAGGUCACACAUAGAUUACUUCACAAAUGUAAUUGGUGGCCCAAAAAAGAUAAAGAAACUGAAAAUUAAACAUACUUGAAAGAGGAACUCAAGAACUCUCACACAAAUCAGUAAUUUUAAUUUUUCGUCUUGUUGUUAAAUAUUUUGCCUUUUGAUGGUCAUUUAUAUAAUUCAAACUAAAGGUGUGAAUCGGACGGGAUCAGGUCGAUCCAAAAUUGGCCCAAAUCAGUAGAAGCCCAGAUCAAACUGGUCCACUACUAAAGAAAUAGGAAAAAUUAUCCGUCGAAGGCACGAACUUUUAGAGAAUCUCUUUGUCAAUUUUUUGACCGUUGUGGGGCCCACUAACAGCUAAAAAAAAUCUAAAAUCUAAUCUAAUAUUUUUAACUUUUAAGUUUUUUCCAAAAAAAAAAACCGCCCCAUUAAUCUAUAAAAAAAAUUCCUCUCAAUUUCUUUACUCUUUUAACUUUUAAGAAUUUAAUAUUUAAUUUCAACUUACUCAAAACUAUUUAAUUAUCAUUUCUCUAUGAUAUCAUUUAUUAGUUACUCCAUUACUUAUUUUUAUUGGUUAUUAAUUUAUUAUUUUUCUUAAAGUGCUAUUAAGAUUAUUAUUAUUAUUAUAAUAUUACUUAUAUAACUUAUUACUAUUAGUUAUUAGUUUAUUGUUUCUGUGAAAAUGUUAGCAAGAUUAUUAUUACAGUAUUACUUUUCAGUUAUUACUUAUUAGUUACUCCCUCCAUUUCAUAUUAGUUGAAUUUUUGAGGCAUUUUUCAUUUUUCAAAUUAACUUAAUUGUUCAAUCUUCAAGACUAUUUUUAAAAUAUUCUUCCAAUUUUAUCCUUCAUGUGGAUUUUCAAUGUGAUGAUUUCAAUAAAUUUGAUAAUAAUAAAUAAGGGUAAAAAUGGAAAACUAUGUUCAAUUUAUGUCUUAAUCUACUUUUCUUAAAGGGUGUGAAAUACUUCAAAAAUUCAACUAAUAUGGAAUGGAGGGAGUAUUAUUAUUCAUUAAUACUUAAUACUUAUUGGUUAAUAGUUAUUACUUUAUUAUUAUUAUUUUUAUUUAUUAGGUAACUCCAUGAUCAAAAGGAUCAAGGAUUAAAUAUUAUUAUUAGCUAAUCAAGUGAUAUUAUGUUACCAUUCGAAUCAAGUAUUUAUUCUUUUGCGAAAAUUUGAUAUACUCGUUUCAUUUAUUUCUAUUUUUUUAGUAUUUUAUAUUUAAUUUUAGUUAUUUUAAUUAAACUAGCACAAUGAAUUUGAUGCAAAAAAGCUGAAAAGUUUGUUUGAGGUUGUAACGACCGGGUUCCGUCGUUAUAGAAAAGCCAAUGGGGGAAAAUUUGGGGACGGAAAACCUUUUCAUAGUAUUUGGAUUUUUUCCAACUUAGUCCAGAUUUGGACGAAAUCGGAGUCAUUAAGGUGUAGGGAAAUCUGGCAUUAAUCGGGUGAUUUAUUUAUAAUUUUGAUUACAUGAGGGGAUAGAUAACUCAUUAAGGAAUCCAUACGACUUUACGGAAUUGAAUGCAAGCCACUUUGGCGCUGGGUUUUGUCCCUCUGGCGGGGUAAGGGUCGCCGUGGCGGGCUAGAUGCGACUGAAAGUCGUAAAUAAACCCCUAAACGACUUAUUUUUGCACUUUUCAAUUUUUAAAGCUAAGGAACGAACCCAGGAGACUCUUGAGAGUUUUCCACCAUUCUUGAGGCUAAAGGUAAGAUUUUCACUCCCCGAAUCUGUUUUUCGAUCCGUAGAGCGUAAUAGAAUGGGUAAUUAUCGAUGGGGGAAGGUUUUGAAUUAAAAACCAUGAUGGAAAAAGUCCUAAUUUGGAUACUUGGGAUCAUAGGUAUGAUCUAGGUGCCAAGCCCCAAAAUCUAGGGGCGCAACUGGCUCCUAAUGCCAGAACUCAGGCCCGAGUCGACCCUCCUGAACCAUUUGCUACUAGCGCAUGGCAGCCACACGCAAUCAAGAAAAUAAACAAGUAUAUCUCGGCUUAAAACUAUGACAUCGGCCAGUAAGGCCCCUGUCAACAGAUCUAUAAAAGAAAUAUCUAUUCCCAAGAGUUUAUAUAAAAAAAUAGCCAACUAGCACAGAAGUCCAGAUUGGACCGUCGAGGCCACCACGAUCUCUAUACCAAAACUGAAAGCAGGUAUAUAUCAAGACAAUACAUCAAAUAGCUCACAAGCUUCAGCAAACCAACAAACUAGGCCAGCAUGGUCAUAACGUAGCUAUACACCACACACACUAGUCUGCAAGCCUCUAAGAGUAGAAAAGAUUGGCAGGACAGGGCCCAGCCUACCCAUAAAAAUAUCUGCAACAAAAGCUAACAAACCUCCCAACUCUGGCAACUCCGGAGGAAAGGGGUUAGCCAACCAGAUAGAAGUCAAUCUUGCUGAUGAGGAGGUCUACUGGGUCGUCUGUUGGGACCUGCAUGCAGCACCCUCAGGCAAUAGGGCAUCAGUACAAAAUAAUGUACAGAGUAUGAAAGGCUAUAGACUAAAUGAGCAAGUAUCAUAAUAUACCAAAAGCAAUUAGGUAAGGAAAUCAAUAUUUAGCUAAGCAUGCUAACCCACUACUAGAUCUAAAAAAAUACAAAAAUGAUCAAACAUCAACCUAACCAAGCCCCCAUAAGCUCGGUAGGUACAAACAAUAUACCACCUACCUAGGCUCCCGUAAGCCCAGAAGGUGCCAAAUCAAUCUACAUAACCCUAUCGGUAGCCCCUUGUCUUUGUAAGAAGUCACAUAGCCCUUUUUGGCAAUGAUAUAUCCCCGUAGGCAGCGCAUGACCCUCUUAGGCAACAACAUAGCUCUGUGGGCUGCACAUAACCCUCUUUUGCAUCAACAUAGCCCUGUAGGCAACACAUAGCCCUCUUUGGCGUCAAAAUUGCCUCAUAGGGAACACAUAACACUCUUUGGCAUCAAUACAACCCCAUAGAAAACACAUAGCCCUCUUAGGCAAUAACAUAGUCCUAUUAGACAACAUCAUAGCCCCAUAGGCAGUUCAUAGCUCAACCGCUAACCACAAUAGCCCCAAGGGCGACAACAAACAAUUGAAUAAGCUAAAGGUGAGCAAUUUAGCUAUAUAUAUAUAUAUAUAUAUAUAGUUUCCAAGUCAUUCCUAACUUAGGGUCAUUCUUAACAGAUUAUGAGUCCCUAUAAUAGGGGUUUAUAACCACUCAAUCAGCCAACCACUCACAAUUACAUCUACAAGAUCACCAACAUUAACUACCAUACUAUAUCAUUCCCAAGCUCUAAGGAAAUAUGCCGAACGAAGGGAAUAGCCUUAACAUACCUUUUCCUUUAUAAUCUAUGCUUAAAAUACCUCUGUCCGCACCACUACAACACUAAAUAAAAAGGUAAAAUCAAUUAGUAAUUAAGGAUAAAAAAUACUACGACAAUUCGACAAUCAAUACGGAUUCCUAUCGUAAAUUACUAUCCAAUACCUAAGGUAUCCGUAAACUGCUAAAAAUAUGGUUCAUACCUUUCUUUACACGCCCAUAUCACUUGAAUAAAUCAAAACACUAAAUAAAUGCCUGCUGCCACAACCUCCACGGAUCUACACCGCUCAAUUCACCGUGAAAAUUAUACCAAAACGACGAGCUCGCGACGUAGGGCAAUUUUUUAUAAGGAGCCAAGAAGAGAUCAUGAACAUACAAAGAUGAUUUGAGGAAUAAUUCUCUGAUUUUCGUGGGUUUCUUAUGAGUUGGAAUGAAGAAAAAUGAAGAAGAUGUUAUCUUAUAAGCUUCCACCGACCUAGGGGACCCACCUCACAUGCCUGCUUGCGCAGUCUUGCAAAAAUGUGAAUAUCUCUUUAUUGUGAAAUCUUAGGAACAAACGAUUUGAUGUGUUGUAAACUAGACUCAUAGCCCUUCGAUUCGAUAGGUCGUGGACCCCAUAACUCUUUAUAGAUUGAGAGAAAACCUCUGAGACAUUUGACCCAAAUUUCAGAGAAAUAUUUAAAAAGGAACUUAUGAUAACUUUCGCCAACUUUUAUUUUGCGACUUACCUAACUUCAACACUUAAAAUAUGACAUACCACAACAUUCUUAAUUUAUUACUCACCCUUUUUGUCUUUCCACGAAGGUACGAGUUAAUUUAGAUGUUUCGAAAAGUCGGGGUGUUACAUCCUUACCCCCUUAGAAACAUUCGUCCUCGAAUGAAAAAUCUGAGUCACGUGGUUAAGUCCUUAGGAGUUGGCCAAAAUUUAGGCAAGUAUCCUUUGUAAAUGUGACUAUCCAGGAACCUGAAACACAGAAAUUCUAACUUAGGCAUCUUACAUGACGACAUAAAUAGCUAAGCAUUAUAGCUCUGCAAUAACAGUGCGAGCAAAAUACAACGACAACAACCAUAAUAAUAAGCAAUAAUAUAAAAAUCAGAUAGGUAUCCUAUCUCACUGCACUAAUAUAAACUAAUAUGCCAUCACCUUGGGUAUGAAACAAGUGAGGAUAUUUGGACCUCAUGCCAUCCUCAGCUUCCCAGGUCACCUAUUCUCUAUUCUUGUUUCUCCACAAUACUUUAACUAAAGCCACCUCUUUGGUCCUCAAUUUACGGACCUGUCGAUCUAAUAUGGCAACUUGAGUUUCCUCGUAGGGACAACUCCUUUGUGAUCUGAACAUCCUCAACUGGGACAACCCGGGAAGGGUCUCCUAUGCACUUCCGUAGCAUCGAUACAUGGAAAACUGGAUGACCAGAUUCUAUCCCUGAAGGCAAUUCUAACUCAUAAGCCACUCAUCCUACCCUCCGAAGGAUCUGGUAUGGCCCAAUGAAUUUUGGACUAAGCUUUCCUUUCUUGCCAAAUCUCAUAACACCUUUCAUAGACGAGACUUUAAAGAACACCAGUCAUCGUUAGGCAUCUUACAUGACGACAUAAAUAGCUAAGCAUUAUAGCUCUGCAAUAACAGUGCGAGCAAAAUACAACGACAACAACCAUAAUAAUAAGCAAUAAUAUAAAAAAUCAGAUAGGUAUCCUAUCUCACUGCACUAAUAUAAACUAAUAUGCCAUCACCUUGGGGUAUGAAACAAGUGAGGAUAUUUGGACCUCAUGCCAUCCUCAGCUUCCCAGGUCACCUAUUCUCUAUUCUUGUUUCUCCACAAUACUUUAACUAAAGCCACCUCUUUGGUCCUCAAUUUACGGACCUGUCGAUCUAAUAUGGCAACUUGAGUUUCCUCGUAGGACAACUCCUUUGUGAUCUGAACAUCCUCAACUGGGACAACCCGGGAAGGGUCUCCUAUGCACUUCCGUAGCAUCGAUACAUGGAAAACUGGAUGACCAGAUUCUAUCCCUGAAGGCAAUUCUAACUCAUAAGCCACUCAUCCUACCCUCCGAAGGAUCUGGUAUGGCCCAAUGAAUUUUGGACUAAGCUUUCCUUUCUUGCCAAAUCUCAUAACACCUUUCAUAGACGAGACUUUAAAGAACACCAGUCAUCGACACAAAACUCUAAGUCCCUUCGUCGCACAUCUGAGUAUGACUUCUGUCGGCUUUGAGAUAUUAGCAACCUCUCCCGAAUGAUCUUAACCUGCUCCACUGUCUGUUGUACUAAAUCAGGUCCAAUCAACCCUGACUCACCUACCUCAAACCAUCCAAUGGGGGAUAACAUUUUAGACCAUACAAAACCUCAUAAGGUGCCAUCCCGAUGCUAGAAUGAUAACUAUUAUUGUAUGCGAACACAAUAAGAGGUAAGUGGUCAUCCUAACUUCCAUUAAAGUCCAGCAUGCAUGCCCGUAGCAUGUCCUCAAGUGUUAAAAUGGUGCGUUCAGCUUGGCUAUCUGUCUGAGGGUGAAAGGCGGUACUGAGAUUAACUUGCGUCCCUAAUCCUUUCUGGAAAGACUUCCAAAAGUUAGCAGUAAAUUAUGCUCCUCUAUCCGAGAUAAUAGAUAUUGGGACGCCGUGCAACCAAACAAUCUCUCGGAUGUAAAGCCCUGCAUAAUCUUCAGCUGUGAAAGUAGUCUUGACUAGUAAGAAGUGGGUUGAUUUUGUUAGUCUGUCAACAAUUACCCAAAUAGAGUCAAACUUACGACGUGAUCGAGCUAACCCUAUAAUAAAGUCCAUAUUAAUUGCUUCCCACUUCCAUAAAGGAAUGGCUAUCUUUUGGACUAGCCCAGCGGGCUUUUGGGUUUCAACCUUCACUUGUUGGCAGUUAGGACACUAUGCCACAAACUCAGCAACGUCCUUCUUCAUCUCGUGCCACCAAUAGAUCUCCUUAAUAUCAUGGUACAUUUUCAUCGAACCAGGGUGAAUAGAAUAACGGGAAUGAUGUGCCUCUUCCAUAAUCUAAUGUCGAAGCCCUGCAACAUCCGGAACACACAAUCGAUCGCUAUAUCUGAGGACUCCAUCUCCUUCUAUAUCAAAUGCUAAAUACUGUUAAUCCUGAGCCUUGGCUCUGAGCUGCUCUAAGCUAGGAUCCUCAUGUUGACGUGUUUUUACCUCUACAACUAGAGAUGAUACGGCUGUGUCCUGAAUUGCGACCCCACUAUCAUCUACCUCUAACAAUUUGACUCCCACGCUAGCUAACUGAUGUAGCUCUCGCGCUACCUCACGUUUCUGAACACCUAAAUAGGAUAAACUACCCAUAGAUCUUCGACUGAAGGCAUCGGCUACCACAUUUCGCCUUUUCCUGGAUGAUAUAAAUAUCCACGUAGUAGUCUUUCAGUAACUCAAGCCACCGACGUUGUCGCAGAUUUAACUCCUUUUGUCUAAAGAUAUAUUGAAGGCUCUUAUGAUCUGUGAAGAUGUCAACAUGAACGCCAUACAAAUAGUAUCUCCAGAUCUUUAACGCAUGGACAACUGCAGCCAACUCUAAGUAGUGGUCGGAUAAUUCUUCUGAUGUUUCCUCAGCUGCCUUGAAGCAUAUGCGAUAACCUUACCAUGUUACAUUAGAACACAUCCCAACCCAACACUAGAAGCAUUGCAGUACACCGCAUAGCCCUCUUAACCCUCUAGCAAUGCUAGAACUGGUGCUGAUGUCAACCUGUCAUUCAACUCCUGGAAACUAUGCUCGCAAGCCUCAGUCCAUUGGAACUUAGCUGCUUUUUGAGUCAGCUUCAAUAGUGGUGCUGAAAGUGAAGAAAACUCCUCUACAAACCUUCUGUAUUACCCAGCUAAUCCUAAGAAACUACAAACCUUAGUCGGAGUCAUGGGUCUAGGCUAAGUCUUUACAGCCUCAAUCUUUUGUGUAUCAACCAUAAUGCCUGCAUCUGGUACAAUAUGGCCUAGGAAAGCCACAGAGCUCAACCAGAACUCAUACUUAGAGAACUUUGCGUAAAGUUCCUGCUCUCGAAGAACCUGAAGGACUGCUCGCAAAUGAUCUGCCUGCUCUUUUUUGAAUGCUAAUAGACCAAAAUAACAUCAAUAAAUACAAUCACAAACAUAUCUAGAUACGGAUGAAUAUACUAUUCAUCAGGUCCAUAAAAACUGCCGGGGCAUUGAUCAAUCCAAAAGACAUAACUAAAAACUCAAAAUGCCCAUAUCUAGUUCUAAAAGUUGUCUUCGGAACAUCUUUCUCUUGAACUCGUACCUGAUGGUACCCUGCUCUCAAAUCAACCUUCGAUAAGUACUUAGCACCUUGUAAUUAAUCAAACAAGUCAUCGAUCCUCGGAAGGGGAUAGCUGUUCUUUAUAGUAGCCUUGUUCAGCUGUCGAUAAUCGAUACACAUCCUCAGCGAGCCAUCUUUUUUUCUCACAAAUAAUACUGGUGCACCCCAUGAUGAAACACUGGCCUACUGGCCUGAUAAAUCCUUUAUCAAGCAAAUCUUUCAGCUGAUCAUUCAACUCCUUCAGCUCAGCAGGAGCCAUUUUAUAUGGAGGGAUAGAUAUGUGUUGUGUACCUAGUAGAAUAUCGAUAGAAAAAUCAAUUUCCUAUUCUGGAGGGAUACCAGGAAGCUCGUCUGGAAAUAUAUCUAGAAACUCAUUAACUACCGGAAUAGACUGAAGAGUCGGUGGUUUUGCAUCUAUAUCAUGAACGCGAACAAAAUGAUAAAUACAACCCUUAGUAAUCAUCCUCCUCGCUUUAAGAUAGGAAAUAAACCUACCUUUCUGUGUUGUUGUAUCGCAUUUCCAUUCCAGAAUUGCCUCUCUUAGAAAGUUGACUCUAACAUUUUUUGUCCGACACUUAACAUAAGCAUAACAAGACGCUAACCAGUCCAUACCCAUAAUGACGUCAAAAUCGACCAUCUCUAACUCUACCAGGUCUACAGAGGUCUGACAGUCGAUAAUUUCUACCGUGCAACCUCGAUAGACUCUCCUGCAAUAAUAGACUCAUCAAUUGGUGUAGAUACAAUAAAGGGUUAAUUUAAUGACUCUUUUACUAUACACAACUUCCCCGUAAUAAAUGGGGUAACAUAAGAUAGAGUAGAUCCAGGAUCUAUCAAAGCAUAAACACAAUGAGAGAAAACAAUUAAUGCACCUAUCACAACAUCUGGUGAUGACUCUGAGACCUGUCGGCCGGUUAGUGAAUAUGUACGGUUCUGGCCACUACCAGAACUAGAUGCUUCCUCUCUACCUCCGCAUUUGCCUCUACCUACUGAAGUUUAGGGUCCACGCCCUGUAGGCUGUGCUGAGGAGGAGGAACCUACUACUGACCCGGUCGACUGACCUAUACCACCCUGACCUAUGGUCGGGAAAUUCCUCCACAUAUGCCCCUGCUAUCCACAAGAAUAAAAACCUGUGGAACCAUUCCUGCACUUCCCGAAAUGCAUCCUACCGUAAGUAGCGCAACGCGGUGGUGCUGUCCUAGCCUGGCCUGAACCCCUCUGCUGCUGAGAGCCUGAUGCUUGUGAACCCUCACCUAGGCUUGACUGUCCCUGGAACUACUGUGGUGGAGCUCUAGGUGGCCUACUAGAAUAUUAGGGUCUGGGAGCACCCUAAAAAUCUCCCGGUGAACCAGCAGGCCUAUUCUUUUUUUGUCUCUCUAUUGACCCUCUCACUCAUAUAAUGUAGAUGUCGGCGAUCCUCUAUUACUUGUGCAAAGGCCAGAAUUCGCAAGAUAUCCAUAUUAUCAUUUAGUGCAGCGGUAGAACAAGUGCCGAUAUAGUCUGAGUCAAGCCCUCCCACAAAUCUACGCACCCUAUCGUGCAUCGUAUCAACAAAUGUUGGUGCAUAUCUAGCCAAUGAAUCAAAUCUCAGCAUGUACACUCAGACACUCAUGUUGUUGUUAUACCCCAUUUUAACUCAAAGUCAAAAUGUGUACAACAUAUUGGUGAUUUCCAAAUUAUUCACAAACUUGAGAAGUCGCCACCUAAUUAUUAUGGUGAAUUAGGGCACCUAUAACGAUUAAAGUCUAUCGUCUAAAGUUAACUUCAUUUUAAGGUAUGCUAAACAUGAGAUUCUAGGUAAGAGUUGUAGUUAUCCUAAAGGGAAGGGGUAAGUCAUCUUUUAAGAUUCGUUAAAGACGGUUACCGGUCAAACUUAGGUUAAUUAAUUAAACUAAAAAUUAGUGCUAAAGAAUUUGAAAAAAUCAUAAGUUGGAAAACAUUUUAACAUUAAAAAAAAACUCUUUUAUAUUUUGAAAGAAUUAACUUGCAUUUUUCUUUUUUGAAAACAAUAGAUAAUCACUUGUUAAGAAUGACAAUUGUUUGUACAAAAUUUGAUACCAAAAUGUAUACUAAAGAAAUAUGUUUGUCCAUGAAGUUAAUAUGCAUGCCUUUAAAAAGCAUUGUUUACACCUUGAAAUCGAUAACACAUUCUACACUUGAAAGACUCUUUCGACUUUAAAAAAAAUGACAGAGCUUUUCUAAAACAAAAUCAUUUGUUUAAAGUAACUUUAUUUUAUUCAAAAUUUAUUGCUAAAGAUCUGAAAAUAAUAAUGAUAAAAAUAUUUGUUUUUUGCAGAAGCAUUGUAAGGAAUUAAAAACUCCUUUAAGACAUUUGUUGUCAAAAAAAAAAAAAUCAUUGAAAAGUUUACCGAUGUCAAAAUUUAUUGCUAAAGAUCUGAAAAUAAUAAUGAUAAAAAUAUUUGUUUUUUGCAGAAGCAUUGUAAGGAAUUAAAAACUCCUUUAAGACAUUUGUUGUCAAAAAAAAAAAAUCAAUGAAAAGCUUACCAAUUUUCAACCAAAGAAAAACUUAAAAGCCUAAUGGAGACAUUUGACAUCCUUAAAAGUUCUUUCUUUUUUAUGACCGACACUAAAGACUUGCAAAAACCAAAAAAAAAAACUCUCUGUUAACGAAAAAAUAACCCACGACAAGCAAUCAAGGAGCAACAAAUAUCACAUGACAAAUGCUCACAAAUGUCACUUAAGGUAAAGCGAACAAAAGAUGACUAAAAAUUAUAAAAGAACACUUUUCCAGAUUUCCUUGUUGGAUGAGUUUUGAGGAUGUAAGAGGCACAAAAAUGUGAGAGGAUGUCGUUUUUAAUGUCUAAUGGCGGUGAGAGUCUUUCAUGAAGACUCCAUGUAGCUCCUAUUGCGGGGUAAUGAAUGGACGCUUGCGGUCGCCAAAUCACACUCAAACUCAACUACGCUUAGGUUCGAGAUUUUCGCAAAGAGAGUUGAAUACUUUGAGCUUUUAGAAAAUCAAAUUAAUGCAAAGGAAAACUAAAGUUUCAAGAGAAGAAGUCGUCAUUCGCUGUGCAGGGAUGAAGAAAAUUUAUUAAGAAAAUUUCCGCAAACAAAAAUCGUCUACCCCAAAAUGAUUGAAAGAGCAAGUAUUUUUUCAAAACUUAAAGCUUCUAGGCUUAGCAUUUGGGCGGGAUUUUUUCCAGAAUAGAGUCAAGAGACCCGUUUGAAUUUGAACGUUGCGAUUUGGAUGGGCUUGGUCCUUCAUGUGAUUGACAAGAUUGUAUCACGAAAAUAGGGUAGCUAAACUCGGCUCUAUGAUUAAAGAAUAGUGGAGUUUGUUGAAAAGAGGAAAAGGAUAGAAAGUAGAGGAAGAGGCGGAGGUGAUCUGCUGCUACGCUUGCUACUGUAGGGUUUAAAAAGAAGUUUAGGCUGGUGCUAAAUUUUCUUUGUGGGCUGAUCUGAAAGUUCCGUUGGGCCAUAUUUUGGAGCGGAUUUGGGCUCGUUUUUCUGGCCAAUUUUGGGCUGAAUUGGAAGGUCUUUUCUCUUCUUUCUUUGUAUUAUUUUGGGCUUCUAACUUAAUAAUUAAUACAAUAUAUAUUAUGAUAUGAUAACAACUAAAAAUUUACAUGAUAAAAAUAUCGCUAAUAUAUAUACAAAAUAUUGACUUAUAAUUAACUUAAUAAGUACGAAACUAGAAAUAAGGUGACGACAAUUGAUUAUUUAAGAAAAGAGGUGUAAAAAGUGAUAAUAAUCAUUUCAACAAUAAAACCUAUAAUUUUAGUAGAUAAAUAGUCGUAAUAGUAAAAAUAGUUGUGAAAAAGUUCAUUUGAUACAUUAUUAAUUUAGAAGCUCGAAAAUGAUAAAUUAGAAGAAAGGAGGGUCAAAAUUGGGUGUCAACAACUUGUCCCUCUUUGACCAAAGAUGAUGUAAGAGUUUUUGGGCAAAGAAGUUGACGUAGAAGCCAAUUUUGUCCCGAACAACAAAUACGACCUUAGGAGAGCAUGAGACAAUAUGAGCAUGGGAUAACUGAUGAGGUAGAGGAUUUUGAGAACAACGUAGUCGCAAGCUUACAACAGUUUCCCCAAUAUUGAAUUAUGAUGUUACUAGGUAUUGUGAUCGAGAAGAGUAUUUGGGAGUGGAGUCGAGCAGAGUUCGAGGUGGACCUUUGAUCUUUGUUGGAAAGCUAAACUUUCCCAAAAAAUUGCCCCAGUUCACUGCUUAGAUAAGGUUCCACAUUGCAUUGUGUCCCUUGUUGCUGCAUGUAGAUUGUGCUUUCUGCCAAAUCUUUACAAAAUUGUUAGGAAAUUAUAUAAAGCUUGAAAUAUAUAUAAAAAAAACAUCUUAUGAAAAAUGUCAUAAGAAAGAUGCGUCAUUUCUGAAUUAAUAUUCAAGAUGCGAUUAAUAGAGUAUAUUGCAUUUUCUUGAAUCAUAAAUAAUUGCUUCAGAUUAUGCGGCUGCAAAGUCUCGUUAGUAAAAGAGACAUAUAUAUAUGUAACUUAAUUUUUCAAGAAAUUUAAAAUGCUUGCAGUGCAUAAUAAAAAUAAUUAAGACAUUGCGCAAUAUCUCCUUAGAGACUGCUAAGCUUUCAAGAAAUUUAAAAGAUAGCAUGCAUUGCUCAUAUGUAUAAAAUGAAUAAUUAAGGCAUUACAAGAUGUCUCAUUAGAGACUAAUAUGCUUUUCAAGAAAUUUAAAAGAUAGCAUGCAGUGCAUAUCUAUAUUUAAAAAUAAAUAAAUAAUUAGAGCAUUGCGAGAUGCCUCAUUAGACACAGAUGAGAUUAAAAUGUCUUAUUGGAGGGCAGACUAACCCAACAUGUCCUAUUUGAGGGCAGUUGAACUCGAUAUCUUCUAUUUUAGGGUGAAUGAACCCAAAGUAUCCUAUUUUAGGGUGGAAGGACCCAAUGUAUCCUAUUUUACGGUGGAAGAACCCAAUGUAUCCUAUUUUAGGGUGGAAGAACCCGAUAUAUCCUAUUUUAGGGUGGAAGAACCUGUUAUAUCCUAUUAGAGGGUGGAAGAACCCGAUAUAUCCUAUUUUAGGGUGGAAGAACCUGAUAUAUCUUAUUUUCAGGUGGAAGAACCCGAUAUAUCCUUUUAGAGGGCGGAAGAACCCGAUGUAUCCUAUUAGAGGGUGGAAAAACCCGAUAUAUCCUAUUGGAGGGUGGAAGAACCCGAUGUAUCCUAUUUGAGGGUCGAAGAAUCCAAUAUGUCCUAUUUUAGGGUGGACUAACCCAAUAUAUGGUAUUUGAGGGUGGUAGAACUCGAUAUAUCCUAUUAGAGGGUGGAAAACCCCAACAUAUCCUAUUAGAGGGUGGAAGAACCCGAUAUAUCCUAUUAGAGGGUGGAAAAAGCCAAUAUGCGGUGCAAACUUACAAAUAUAAAUUUUGGUGCAAUGCGAUGAGCUUGGUGCGAUUUCUUUGCGGUAACAAACAUUCAGAAUCUAGUAUGAAGAACUUGUUGCAGUGCCUUUGCAGUAUUGAAUAAUUAAGGUACGGUGCCUAGUGCAAUACUUCGCAAUAAUGCAUAUGUUGCCCAUAACUUAGGAGCUUCAAUUUCAAUGAAAGUUUGCUGCUUAUAAAUUCUGCACUCAAAGAAAAAUUAUGAAUUUCAAAUUUGAUUCUAGUUGAUGUUGCACCAUCUGAAUCUUGCAAAUUUUGUCUUGAUGUUGAGCCUUGUGGUGUUAUCAUUCAAGGAUAACAAAAAUUCAACCUCUACAUUACUCAAAGAAAACUUGUUAGUAUAAAAGAAAAUGGCCUUGCAUUGAACCAUGAAGCUUUUGCUUUGAAUCUGCAUUUCUUGUUGCUAUGGCAUUGAAGCGACUUGAUGAUGUGGAUAUGGCUUGUGAUCUCAACUUCUGCCUUUUCAAAUAAUUAUAGGCCAUCUAUAAAGUUGUCCCAGUCUUUUCUCUUGGGAGAGAAUGGAAUUUUAUUAUGUUGAGAUCGAACCCAGAAUAGGCGCCUACUUAUCCCGCUAUUAACAGGAAUCAGGUCAUACAUAGUUCAUUACAAAAGGGUAGAAAGGAUUGUAAAAGGGUAUAUAUUUCUUAAAAAGGAAAAGUUGCAGAGAUAAUGUCUUUGUUAGUCUUCUUGACUAGUUGCAUGCUUUCUUUUCAACUGCUUUGGUGCCAAUUUCAAUGGAUCACCCUUAACAACAAUUGUGCUUAUGAUAUUGCCAUUACUGGUUGAAGGAUAUAUUUGUAGCUUUAUCUUGCCACUUUCAAUCAUGCUUUGAAUCUUGAAUUUUAUGGCAGGACAACCUUCUGUAUCAUGUCCCUGAAUGUUCGAGUGGUAAGCACAAUUCUUGGUGGAUCAAAGUGUUUAGGUGUAUACUCAGGAAUGAAUCCUUUUCUUGAUUGCAGAUGCCCAUUUGCUCUCAAUCUCUCAAAUAGAUGCAUAUGGCUCAACCAAAGGAGUGAAGGAGAAAUGUUUCACCUUCUUCUGGUGGUCACAAGCUAGAUUGUGUUUGGUGCAACUGUUGUUUGCAAGGAUGGUGGAGACGUGCAUUGCAGUAGUUGGAAGUAGCAUGAGAUUGCAAAAAUUGAUCACUUGGAUAGCAUUGCAGCUGUUCCAUAGUCAUGAAAAUUGGGUUGUUUUCUCUCAUCAGAUUUACAAGUAUUUUCGCUUGGAAGGUUUGUUGGACAACUUUUGUUGCUGAGUUGCUUACAAUUCUUCCUCCUUGAAUAUUAUUUUCUAUAACAUCUCGCACCUAGAAACGACUAUAAAGAGUUUAAAAUAUGAAAAUAUUGAUUUUUGGAAAGAAUAAGGAAAGCUGAAAAUUUUGUCUAAGUUAAGAAAGUGAGUUUUGGCCAUUUUCAAACGGCCAUAACUCCUAGCUCAGGAUGAGUUAGGAGCAGAUCUUGAUAUGGUUGGAAAUCCCUUGUAGAGAUCUUUCCAACGCAGCCAAGUUUGUGCGAUUUUGACAACGUAUGAGUGAGUUAUGCCCUUCAGAAGUUGGGCUGUUGGAUUGAGGAAAGUCCAAAUCUGGAUUUAAGGAAGGGCAAACUAGUCUUUUCUCUAAUUAAUUUCCUAAUUUAUUUUUAGGGGUUUAUUGGGGUAAAAACAGAACUUAAUUCAGUUUUGGAAAUUAGAAUACGCUUAGGGCUUGGAGAAAAGAGAAAAGAAGAAAGGGAGAAAAGCCAAGAUUUCGCCAAGAACGUCAAGCGUUUGGAGUGGAAUUCGUCGGGCACGUCCCCUGUAAAAGUAUGUGAGAUCUUUUCGUGUUGGGUUAGUUCACCCACACACCACUUGUUUCAAUUCAGUGAUUUGGUGUUGUUUACUUGUUAAGAAGUGAAGUUCUUGAAGAACAUUGUUGAAUUCUUGUUGGUUGAUUGUGAUUGCCUAUUGUUGAUUUAACUCGUGUUUUCGGGUUGUUUUUCGAGUUAAAUCUAUUGGGUAUUGAGGGUACUAAUGUGUAACGACCCGAGAGCACCCCCUAGUCGUAACAUGGCGUACUCGACCCCGAAUGGAUCUCAUACAAGCCACAUAGUCAUUCAUUGCAUUCAAUAAUGAAAAUGGUGCAGAAGCAAAAACUAAUUUAAAACCCAAACAUUCAAACUUCAUUAAAACAACUUUAAAAAGACAUAGCGGAAGUCUAAGUCUCACAUGGCCAUCUUAGACACAAUCUCAAAACAUAAUUAGGGACACAACCCCUUACAAUCAAAACAAUAACUAAAAGUGUCCAUUACAUGAACAAAAGAAACUUAAAAGUCUUGUCCUCGAAUCCAUGAGGACAUACUAAGUCUUGGAGGAAGGCAAUCCAACACUUCAAACUAGCUAGGAGGAAUCACUUGCCGGAACCUACACUUGUAGUAAAAAUAUGAAGAAUAUGGAUUAGUACACAGAAAUGUACUAAGUAUGAUGACUAUGCAAAACAUGCCUAAAAAAGGACUUUUUGGUUAGAAACCAUGCAUUAUGCCACUUUUCGAAAUAUCAUGAACAAUUGCAUAAAAGACAUACAAGACAAGCCUAAUCAUCAUAUAAGUCACAAUACCACACUUUAACAAUAUCAACAUGAAAACCUUCACCUUUACCUUGGACCUUCACCUCAAGCAACCCUUAUGCUAUACCUUGUGCAAUGGAUGGAUAGCGUCCCAUACCACCAUCCAUACUAGUACCACAUUUAGGUCACCUAAAGUAAACUCAUCAUUCCUUUCUUUUCACCUUUGCACAAUAUUCAUACAAAAGCGAUAUAUCAUUUAAUAAGGUAUAACAAGGGAAAAUAAUUCAUAAUAUAACCCAAGUAUAGCAUGCAUAACAAAUUAAGCAUUUGAGAGCCAACAUUCUUUAAUAACCUUAUCUAGGGCACAUUCAUGUCACAGUCAUUAGGAUUUAGAGAAACUCACUAUGACCCUCUCCAAGCCUACUCGUGCAAUGUAUAGGUAGCAUCCCAUACUACUACCUACACUUCGUAGAACCUGUCAAGAAACCAUAAUGAAAUCUCACAUGAUGGGAAGUAAGCAUUAACCGACAUAGACCAUGAGAGCUUGUCAUGGAAUCCGGUGUCAUAAGUCCCCACACCGUAAAGAGGUGGUCUACUUGCCUAAGGAAGACCGGUAUAUAGCUUAAUGGAUCCACUAGCUACCUAUGCGGGCACAUAGUUUAUGGGAUAAGGUAGACGAUCAUUGAAACUCAUGCCUAACCAUUGGGGGAGUUUCCAUCUAACCAAAUCCGCUCGGUGCUUAGCCUACAUUCCCAUAGAAUAGUUCAUUACUUUGACAUCAUCACACAUGAAAGGGUGCCAUAAGCCUACCGAUUCAAGGUACAUUUAGGAAAGCUCAUUAACUCCACUUGAAAGGGUGCCAUGGGCCUGCCGAUUCAAGUCUCAUCAUUAACCUUUAUGGAAAGGUGCCAUAGGCCUACCGAAUCCAAGGUUCAUUACUUAUCAUUAAUGGAAGGGUGCCAUUAGCCUACCGAUCCAAGGAUUCAACAAUCAACAAUAUAAUCAUUUAUACAAGAAAAGGAUGCACAAGUUCUACCAAUUCGAGACAUACAAUAUAUAUUGAAGAAUCUUUCAUAUCCUAUCAUCAACAUUCAUGAGUGUCAAAUUGAGAAAAAACCUUUCAAUAAUAACACAUUUAUAGUCAUAACAUGAUCUCAUUAGCUCCAUUGAAUUCCCAUUCAUACAAUGUCAUGAUAACACUUCAAUUUCUCAUACUAUGCCUUCAAGGACAUGGUCACAAUGUACAUAACAAGUAAACACCUCCACCUUUCAAGUGGAUCAACCUCAAGUUAACAAUUCUAAUUCAACAAGUAGCUUCUCAUAUCUUUUCCUUCAAGGCCAUAAACUUCACAUACCAAUAUACCAACAAUACACCAUAAGGUAAGCAUGGUAAUGACAUACUUCAACAAUCUAAAGCCAUUUAAACAAGUUCUAUUCAUAUACCCCCACUUCAUAAAGGCACAAACUAGGAAUAGAGAGAAAUUAUGGGUUCAUAGAGUAUUUUCAUCUUAAAUCACCAAUACAACAACAAUAUAACAACAAGAUGCCAUUAGAAGCCUUUUAAAACCAUUUGGUGAAAGAACCCAUGAGAUUGAGUAAAACCCUAGGUUUUCAUAAACUUGAAAUCUUUAAAAGUUUACUUUUAAGUUGACUCUAGGGUGAAAGCUAACCCUAGAUGAAUGGUCACCAUACCUUUGUUAAGACUUCCUAAGAAAUUUAAUGAAGAAAUCCUUGAAUCCAAAACCCUAGCUCCCACUCCUUCUUCUACCUUGAGUUAGAGAGAAAUAUAGAGAGAGAGAACUUUGGGAUUUGAUUUGGGGAAAAAUAAUAAGUGAGUGACUUGUUUAAAAAACUUAAAACCUUAUAUAAUUAUCAUGUAAAUCAUUUAAAACAACCCCACAUAAUAAAACAAUUAAAAUGAAAUUACCAAAAACCCCCAACUUGAGGCUACCCGUCAGGGACCACGCCCAUCUAAACGGGUCGUGAGGGGCACCACGGCUCGUUGUGGUGCCCGUGAUCCUUGAGGUAGUGUGCCUCCCAUCCUUGCCAAGCCCUCCAAGACCAAGACAAGUCCACGGAAGCUCCCACGAUCCGUGGUUCACACCACGAGUCGUGGUGAAGCUCGUGGUCAUGGGGCAGCGCCUAGGCAAAGUUGCCUUGCCUCCCUUGAGCCUAAGUGAACUCCAAGUUCGCUUUCACGGACCGUCUAGGGCACUACGGCUCGUGGUGGUGCCCGUGAACUAAGGGACAGUAUCUCCCUCAACUUGCAACAUCUCCCACCAAGUUAAGGCAAACCCUACGAUCCUUCCCACGGCCCGUGGUCAUUACCACGAGUCGUGAAGUGGCUCGUGAAGGGGUGCCUUGGCUUGGCACCAAACUUGAGCAUGCUGCCUUGUCACCACGGGUCAUGAAGACCCUCGUGGUCUAGGGAGGCAGUAGUUAGGACUAGUUUUAGGUAGCCUAGGUUCCCAAACCAUGGCCUACACCUAAAACCCUUAGCACUUGCCCUUAACUCAUGACAUUAACCCCACAGUAAGGCUCUAGUUUAACCUAUCAUUUUCCGAGUCUUUACAUAAUGGUCCUAAGUGUUUGGGGAAAGAACCAUAGAAGUUUAGAGGGUUUUACAGAUGAAAAACGAAGGAGAAAAAUUGGAGUUUGCUGGGCAAGGGGUUGGGGCGCCGCGCCUCUCAGAGCGGUCCACUUCAGAGUCUGAAGUUUGGCCUCUGAGGCGACGCGCCAGCUAGAGCGCCACAACUUCACCUCUGAAGUUUGUGCUCUAGCACCCCACGCCUCUCAGAGCGCCAAGGACACCAGUGCACCCCAUCCCUCCCCCAUCUUUUCGUACUUGUUCCUAAGCGAUGUACCUAUGUUUUCUAAGUUGAUUCCAACACUCUAAGGUACAUUUAAAUAUAAUGAAAUCAUCCAUAAACAUGAGAUCAUGAACCUUGAAUCCAUAAUCCAAUUCAAAGGAAAGUUAAGAUCAAAGUCAAAGAAGUUAAGAGUCAAGUCUAGAAGUUAAGAAGCAAGUCAAAGAAAAGUUUCUUAAAGUUUUCAAAGAGUCUUUAACAAUGUUUUAAAUUCAUUUUAAGACUCAAGUUUUCAAGUUAAGGAAAGAGUAAAGAGUGGAGUUCAUUCCUCCAAAAAGCUAUUAGGGAACUAAGUAUUCCCAAAGAAGUUUAUAAAUAUUUUCACAUUGAGCAAGAAAGGGGAACAUCGAUUUCAAGAGAGCUUUUAAGCUAAGUUUUGAGCAAUUACCUCAAUUCAAAGAAAGAGUUUUGUUUUUACAAACAUACGAGUUAAGUAUAUUUUUGGAGUAGUAUUGAGCACCGAUACGCGGAUGCGAGUUCAUAUUAGCUCAAGUCUCCAUAAACCAUGUAGUCAUCAUGGGUAGUAAAGGAUCAUACUUUUAGAUGACACCUUAAGAUGCUUUUAGCAUAGACUAGUGGAUCCACUAAGUUAAACGUUCUAUAUGACGGCAAAGUAUAGGAAAGUUCUGGCAGCGUGGGCAAGACGUUAUAUCACCACUUAGGCUCAUAGUGGUGGUUGUCGGUUAGAUAGUCUCCCACAAAAGUUAUAUUACUUUAUAUAUAUAUAUAUNNNNNNAUUCCUUCUUACUCUUUUCAAGAUUAAGUUGUUGUUUAGCAUUCCAACUCGCAUACUCGUACAUUCAAUGUACUGAUGCCAGUUGGCUUGCAUCGUCUUAUGAUGCAGACGCAGGUAACCAGGAUUAGCAUCCAGCACCUCGUUGAUCCAGUUGAACACUCAGAGUCAGUGGUGAGCCUCUUUGCAUUCCAGAGGACUCUUUUAUUCGCUUUCUAGUUUAGUUUAUUAGGAUGCUGAGGGGUUUUGUCUCAACAUCCAUCUCAGUUGUUUAGAGGCUUCAUAGACAGUUAGUAGUUCAAUUGUCUUUACAUUAUCAUUCAGAUGUUGUUUGAAGACUGAGUUGUCAUUUUGGCUAAACUAUUAUUUCUUAAGUUGUGUAUGAGUUAUAUUUUCUUAUGUUUAAGUCUUCCGCUGAGUUAAGUAAGCUAGGACAAGGGUUCGCUUGAGGCCAGCAAUGGCCUUCGAGUGCCAGCCACGUCCAGGAUGUAGGCUCGGGUCGUGACAUUUUCAAUCUCUUUGCCAACCUUAAUCAAAUAAGAGAAGUUGUGUGCACAAGUUCCAAGCAGCUUUUCAUAAUAUAGCCCUUCUUGAACAUGGAUGAAGGUUGAGAUGAAUUCCUCUUCGGAUAAUGAAGGAUGCAUUUUUGAAGCUUCUAACCUCCAUCGUAUGGCAUAUUCUUGAAAAGAUUCAUGCGACAAUUUCUUCAGUUUGAGUAAAUUGGCUAUAUGCAAUUCAUCUCCAUUAUUGAACUCAUAUUGCUUUACACAGUUACGGGCCAUAUCUUUCCAUGUAUGCCAUUUGCUAAAAUCUUGCUUAGUGUACCAAGCAACUGCCAAUCCUGAUAAACUUUGAAUGAAUAAUCUCAUUCGUAUGGCUUCAACAUGCCCAAUACUAGCUAAUCUGCUGCAAUAGUCCUUUAAGUGAGCGACGGGAUUUCCUUUCCCGUUGUAAGUGUUGAGCUUAGGUAGCGUGUACCUUGGUGGAAGUUCAACAUUUGGAUGCACACAUAAAUUCUCAUACUUUAAACUCUGACAAUUCCUUGAGCGUAACUAUUCAUCAAAGGCUUCUCUCAGAUUGUGGAGUUCUUUUCCCAAAUCUUCAUGGAAAAUUGACUGAUUAUCCUUCUCACGUCUAGAAUAUAGAUGAGCUGCUAAUUGGUUAUGCUUGUUUUCUUUGCAGGGAAAUAAAAUUGUGGGAGGAUGGAUAUUUGGCGUCAUAGUGACUUGAAAGUUAUUGGGAUUGAUAGUGUAUAUUGAGGGCAUUUGUGGAGAGAUUAUAUAGGUAGAAGUUAGGCGAGGAGAUAUGGUUAAACAAAUAUUCUGAGUUGAGCUGGAAGCUUUAGUAGUGAUAGGAAGAAGGCUAAAUGUAGUUUCCAAAUUGAUCAAAUUGUUUCUUCGAGCCACAU